rnacentral:rRNA from 1 species
UACGUAGGAGACGAGCGUUGUCCGGAGUUACUGGGCGUAAAGGGUGCGUAGGCGGGUUUUUAAGUCAGAGGUGAAAUCCUGGAGCUCAACUCCAGAACUGCCUUUGAUACUGGGAAUCUUGAGUAUGGAAGAGGUGAGUGGAACUGCGAGUGUAGAGGUGAAAUUCGUAGAUAUUCGCAAGAACACCAGUGGCGAAGGCGGCUCACUGGUCCAUAACUGACGCUGAGGCACGAAAGCGUGGGGAGCAAACAGG